rnacentral:rRNA from 1 species
UCGGUCUGAUGGAAACUGGCGCACGGGUGAGUAACGCGUGGGAACAUGCCCAAGGGUACGGAAUAACAGCUGGAAACGGCUGCUAAUACCGUAUGUCCCCUGAGGGGGAAAGAUUUAUCGCCCUUGGAUUGUCCCGCGUCCGAUUAGCUUGUUGGUGAGGUAAUGGCUCACCAAGGCGACGAUCGGUAGCUGGUCUGAGAGGAUGAUCAGCCACACUGGGACUGAGACACGGCCCAGACUCC